AGAAAAAGCAGCAAUCCUCCGUGCUUUAAGUGAAUCCAUCUUUUUAUACCGUACCGCUGUCCUCCAGCAGGAGGCAGAACAACCUCACACACCUGAUGUUUGUUUCCUCUCUCCGUGCCAGCGCGAUGACAAACGGGAUUUAGGGUGUAACCUCGCGAUACUUCCCACCUCUCUCUCUCCCCCUCUCGCUGGCUCGGCGGGAUGAUGGGAGUCCGGCCGGUUAGCCCGCAGAAACGCAGCUCAACACCCUCUGAGGGCAAAACUUCCACUUUUUCCUCCUCUAUGAAAUUCCCCAAAAACAAGAACAAUUAAUGAACGGCAACAGCUGGACACGAGAAGGGGACUUUUAUUUUGGAGGCGAGUUUUCUUCUUGUUAAUUAUCACACCUGAGAAGAAAUUAAAAAGAAAUCCCUGAGGUGAAGGCUUUUAAAAAGAGGGGGAUAAAGAAAGCUGGAGCAGCUCCCGGAGGAUAACAGCGGCUAAAGUUGUGGAGAUGCCGGAGGAGGAAGCGGAGCAGGCGGAGUGAUCAGUCCGGUGCGCACCCUCCUCUCCCCUGCUGCACGGAGCGCCACAGUCCGCUAACCUGCCACUGGUGGAGGGACUCUCCAACUCCUCAGGACCCUCAUCAUCACUCUUGGAUGUAAAACAACAAAUCUUCAUCUUAUUCUUCAUCCAAGAGAUUUUUAUCCAAACUCUUUUUUUCUUCUAAUUUGUUGGCUCCGUGCGGAGUUUUUGUCUCGUGGAUCCGCCGCUGUGCGCCUCCUCCCCGGAUGGGAUCUGGCAACAGUGAGCGGGGCGCGGCGGAGAAGUGAUGGAGUGAAAACGAGAUUUAAAAAAAACCCCACGAACCCGCAGUUUUUAACGCAGGAGUUUCA